UCCCUGGUGGUCCAGUGGUUAGGUCUCUGCACUGGUACUGCUGAGGGCCCAGGUUCAACCCCUGGUCUGGGAA